GUAAAGUACUUUCAGCAGUGAGGAAGGUGGGUAUGUUAAUAGCAUACUCAUUUGACGUUAGCUGCAGAAGAAGCACCGGCUAACUCCGUGCCAGCAGCCGACGGUAAUACGGAGGGUGCGAGACGUUAAUCGGAAUUACGUGGGACGUAAAGCGCAUGCAGGUGGUUGUUAAGUCAGAUGUAGAAACGGCCCGGGGCUACAACCGUACGGUAAUUGCUAUUUAGAAACUGGACAAACUAGAGUACUGUAGAGGGGGUAGAAUUUCAGGUGUAGCGGUGAAAAUGCGUAGAGAUCUGAAGGAAUACCGGUGGCGAAGGCGGCCCCCUGGACAGAUACUGACACUCAGAUGCGAAAGCGUGGGGAGCAAACAGGAUUAGAUACCCGGGUAG
rnacentral:rRNA from 1 species